GUGGAUGUAGCUCAAUGGCAGAGCGCUGCACUGUGGAUGCAGUGGUUGUGGGUUCAAGUCCCAUCAUCCACCCCA
rnacentral:tRNA from 1 species